rnacentral:misc_RNA from 1 species
CCACCGUCAGUCUCCUCCACCGGCCGUCUAGGGUUUCGCCUCCGCUCCCCCAAAUCCGUCACGAUGUGGGCCGCCUCUUGCCUCGCCUCGUGCUGCGCUUCGUGCGCCUGCGAUGCCUGCCGCUCCGUCGUUGGCGGUAUUAGCCGCCGCUCCGCCCGCAUCGCCUACUGCGGCCUCUUUGCCCUCUCCCUCAUCGUCUCCUGGAUCCUCCGAGAGGUCGCCGCUCCUCUCAUGGAGAGCAUCCCAUGGAUCAAUCACUUCUCGAAGACGCCGGAUCGGGAGUGGUUUGAGACGGACGCGGUGCUGAGGGUCAGUCUCGGUAAUUUUCUGUUUUUCACCAUAUUGGCGUUGAUGAUGGUUGGGGUGAAGAAUCAGAGGGAUCCGCGGGAUGGGCUGCAUCACGGCGGGUGGUCGGCGAAGAUAUUUUGUUGGUUUGUGUUGGUGAUUCUGAUGUUCUUUCUUCCCAAUGGGGUUGUGAGCUUCUAUGAGACGGCAUCAAAAUUUGGUUCGGGAUUGUUUCUUCUGGUCCAAGUUGUUCUCUUGUUGGACUUUGUGCAUGGUUGGAAUGAUAAUUGGGUUAGCAAAGAUGAGCAAUUCUGGUACACUGCAUUGUUGGUCAUCUCCCUUGUGUGCUAUGUGGCCUCAUUCUCUUUCGCAGGGUUGCUUUUUCAUUGGUUUACUCCAUCAGGGCAUGAUUGUGGGCUCAACACGUUUUUCAUUGUUCUUACUCUGGUUCUUGUUUUUGUUUUUGCGGUCGUUGCACUUCACCCAAAGAUUAAUGGCAGCUUAUUACCCGCCUCUGUUAUAUCCCUUUAUUGCACUUAUCUCUGCUACAGCGGGCUCUCUAGCGAGCCGAGGGACUAUGAGUGCAACGGCCUUCAUAACCAUACCAAAGCUGUCUCUACAGGAAGCAUGACACUAGGUUUGCUUACCACUGUCCUCUCUGUGGUCUAUUCUGCUGUUCGUGCUGGUUCUUCCACAACUCUCCUGUCGCCCCCGAGUUCACCCCGUGCUGGUACAGAGAAGCCUCUGCUCCCCUUUGACAAGGUGGAGGAGCAGGGAGACAGAAGGAAAGAUGAGGCGAGGCCGGUGUCAUACUCCUAUACCUUCUUCCACCUCAUUUUCUCACUUGCCAGCAUGUAUUCCGCAAUGCUGUUGACCGGCUGGUCAACCUCAAUUGGCGAAAGUGGAAAGCUUGUUGAUGUGGGGUGGGCGUCAGUGUGGGUCAGAAUGGUGACAGGUUGGGCCACAGCAGCUCUCUUUAUCUGGUCCCUCGUUGCUCCCAUUCUGUUCCCAGACAGGGAGUUCUAAUCGCUGAACACGUGCCUAUGAAACUUUAUGGAAAACUUUUAAGUAUUGUAUGUAUAUAAUGUGCGAAUGAUCUGGUGUGUGGUUAUGAGCUUUUGACAAGCCAAGGGCAGUAUGAUUUCAAUAAAAAUAAUGUGAUGUUUUCUUACUAAGCUAU